AGCUUUGUGCAAGGGCAGUCUUGUAGCCAAUGAGGUUUAUCCGAGGCACAAUUAGUGCUACUUUUGGGAGGAAGCGAUUGACUGAAGUUGGGAUUAGCUUGCACUGCUGUCCACAAGAAAUGUGCCUUUAAGAGG
ensembl:snRNA U4 U4 spliceosomal RNA